rnacentral:rRNA from 1 species
UACGGAGGGUGCUAGCGUUGUUCGGAAUCACUGGGCGUAAAGCGCGUGUAGGCGGUCCGUUAAGUCUGAUGUGAAAGCCCGGGGCUCACCCCCGGAAGUGCAUUGGAAACUGACGAACUCGAGUCCCGGAGAGGAGGGUGGAAUUCCUGGUGUAGCGGUGAAAUGCGUAGAUAUCAGGAGGAACACCGGUGGCGAAGGCGGCCCUCUGGACGGUGACUGACGCUGAGACGCGAAAGCGUGGGGAGCGAACAGG